rnacentral:rRNA from 1 species
GACGAACGCUGGCGGCGUGCCUAAUACAUGCAAGUAGAACGCACAGUUUAUACCGUAGCUUGCUACACCAUAGACUGUGAGUUGCGAACGGGUGAGUAACGCGUAGGUAACCUGCCUGGUAGCGGGGGAUAACUAUUGGAAACGAUAGCUAAUACCGCAUAAUAUUGAUUAUUGCACGAUAAUUAAUUGAAAGGUGCAAUUGCACCACUACCAGAUGGACCUGCGUUGUAUUAGCUAGUAGGUGAGGUAACGGCUCACCUAGGCGACGAUACAUAGCCGACCUGAGAGGGUGAUCGGCCACACUGGGACUGAGACACGGCCCAGACUCCUACGGGAGGCAGCAGUAGGGAAUCUUCGGCAAUGGACGAAAGUCUGACCGAGCAACGCCGCGUGAGUGAAGAAGGUUUUCGGAUCGUAAAGCUCUGUUGUAAGAGAAGAACGGGUGUGAGAGUGGAAAGUUCACACUGUGACGGUAUCUUACCAGAAAGGGACGGCUAACUACGUG